rnacentral:rRNA from 1 species
UAUAAGCGGAGGAAAAGAAACCAACAGGGAUUGCCUUAGUAACGGCGAGUGAAGCGGCAAAAGCUCAAAUUUGAAAUCUGGCACCUUCGGUGUCCGAGUUGUAAUUUGAAGAAGGUAACUUUGGAGUUGGCUCUUGUCUAUGUUCCUUGGAACAGGACGUCACAGAGGGUGAGAAUCCCGUGCGAUGAGAUGCCCAAUUCUAUGUAAAGUGCUUUCGAAGAGUCGAGUUGUUUGGGAAUGCAGCUCUAAGUGGGUGGUAAAUUCCAUCUAAAGCUAAAUAUUGGCGAGAGACCGAUAGCGAACAAGUACAGUGAUGGAAAGAUGAAAAGAACUUUGAAAAGAGAGUGAAAAAGUACGUGAAAUUGUUGAAAGGGAAGGGCUUGAGAUCAGACUUGGUAUUUUGCGAUCCUUUCCUUCUUGGUUGGGUUCCUCGCAGCUUACUGGGCCAGCAUCGGUUUGGAUGGUAGGAUAAUGACUAAGGAAUGUGGCUCUACUUCGGUGGAGUGUUAUAGCCUUGGUUGAUACUGCCUGUCUAGACCGAGGACUGCGUCUUUUGACUAGGAUGUUGGCAUAAUGAUCUUAAGCCACCCGUCUUGAAACACGGAC